rnacentral:rRNA from 1 species
AUUGAACGCUGGCGGCAUGCUUUACACAUGCAAGUCGAACGGUAACAGGUCUUCGGAUGCUGACGAGUGGCGAACGGGUGAGUAAUGCAUCGGAACGUGCCCAGUCGUGGGGGAUAACGCAGCGAAAGCUGUGCUAAUACCGCAUACGAUCUAUGGAUGAAAGCGGGGGACCGUAAGGCCUCGCGCGAUUGGAGCGGCCGAUGUCAGAUUAGGUAGUUGGUGGGGUAAAGGCCCACCAAGCCAACGAUCUGUAGCUGGUCUGAGAGGACGACCAGCCACACUGGGACUGAGACACGGCCCAGACUCCUACGGGAGGCAGCAGUGGGGAAUUUUGGACAAUGGGCGCAAGCCUGAUCCAGCAAUGCCGCGUGCAGGAAGAAGGCCUUCGGGUUGUAAACUGCUUUUGUACGGAACGAAAAGGCUCUGGUUAAUACCUGGGGCACAUGACGGUACCGUAAGAAUAAGCACCGGCUAACUACGUGCCAGCAGCCGCUGUAAAAC